rnacentral:rRNA from 1 species
GACGUAGGGCGCGAGCGUUGUCCGGAUUUAUUGGGCGUAAAGAGCUCGUAGGCGGCCUGUUGCGUCCGCUGUGAAAGCCCGGGGCUUAACCCCGGGUCGGCAGUGGAUACGGGCAGGCUAGAGGUAGGUAGGGGAGAAUGGAAUUCCCGGUGUAGCGGUGAAAUGCGCAGAUAUCGAGAGGAACACCGGUGGCGAAGGCGGCCAACUGGACGAGUACUGACGCUGAGACACGAAAGCGUGGGGAGCAAACAGG